CAGAUGCAGUUAAAUACUUAAAUGUCUUGGAGUUUUAGGAUGGAUUCAUGUGCUUGUUUUUACUUGUUGGAAGUUUAGGCCAGGCUAUUCUUUAUAAGUUAAAGAAGAAUGUGAUAGGAAAAGAAAUACCAAGAUUAGGGCCAGAUGACCUUCAAGCUAAUUCAACAGGGUGUGGAAUUGUGGUUAGAGUUGUUAUUUGUGGCCACAAUGUAAGGUAUCGAUUGGAUUCUGAAUUAUUUUGGCUAUCUUGUUUGUGUUUUUUAACAAUAAUAGAAUUUCCUAUCGGCCUGUGGUCAGUAUGAGUGGAAAUAAGAAGUGAAGGCAACAAUGAGGUUUUGAAGCCUCUGACUCACUAGCUGCUACCCUUUUAGGCUUCAGUGCACAGCAGAGCAUGUUCCUCAGAGACAAAUCACCUUUUUCUUCUUUUGUAGCUGUUUCAAUUUGACAAGAGUUGUUCUGAGACGGUGUUUAUGUGUGAAACGGCUGUAGUUCAGGAAGGGAGAGGAAAUUUCUUGUUAAUUUCUAAAGGCAGUGGACUCUGUGGUCAUUGACACAUUUCUCAUGAGUGAGUUACGUGGCUUUGUGGAUGCCAUGAAGGGUACUGGUUUCUCCUGGGGUAGACUGUUAGUUUUGAUAGCAUGCAGCUGUGGUCCUUGGGUAAAAAAAGUUUCAGUAAGUGGCAUAGAUAUUAUAGAUACCUUUGUUUCUCUGCUCUUCAUUGAGAGAGAGACUUCCAGCCAGUUCUGCUCAGUGCAGAACUGAGAGAUGGAGCCUAGAGCAACAUCCCUGGGCAACAUCCUAAAGAGGGUCUCCUCUCCAUCCAGUGAAGAUGUGUUUCUCUCCAUCGAGGGUAUGACUGGCAGUCCAGAUGCUAUGCUUUUAUAUUGACACUGCUUUACAACAUUGCUGAGUGGUGGAAGAGGAGUUGGAAAGACUUUUGACUUUUUACAGCUUUGUAAAUGAUGAUUUGCUCAGGAUGUCUCCAGAGUAGGGAAGAUGAUAUUGUGCUGGAUUUCAUUUGAUCCGUGUCGGUGGUUUCAUGACUGUGAGAACAGGGAAUGUGUUUUGUUUUCAAAUUAAAGGUUAUAUUUUUGUGUGGUGAGAUCCCAGACUCAAGGAGAAAUUUCUGCAGUGAUUUCUACAGUGAGCUAAAACCUACUGAGUGGUUGUGGGCCAAGAUCAAUGGUUGCAUUCCUGCUGCUGAGACUCUCCUGCCUUGGGACUCAUCUCUGGGCUGAGUCUACCAUGAGAGACAUUGAAGGUAUAAAACUGGUCCUCAAGCCUGGGAAACCUCCUUCCCUGGUUUCUACAAAGAGCUACAUGAGCAUGAGGAAGGAUCCCUGUGAGAUCCUCAAGUCUGUGUUAUGGAGCAGAGGCUGGGCUCCAGGUUUUGUGCAUUGCUUUCUGCUGGUCUGUAAAACACAAACCCUGCCACCACACUUGCACUUGGAGCUCUGUCACACAGAGAUUAGUGUCUGUUGGCAUUGAGAUUGAGACAAUGUUUGUACUUUUUGUCUUGUAAAAUGUUUAUGUGUACCUUGUUUGAGCUUUGAUUUUAUAUAUAUAUAUUUACUCCAUCCUUGCAUUGUUUUGGGAGAACAAGUUGUUAUUAGUAGAUGUACAUCUGAGACAUGAUUUAAAUGGGAUGAAAGUUAUUCAAAAUAGGAAUUGUCUUGAGGUUUUUUUUUCUUAUGUCUUCAAAUAUUAAUUCUUUGAUUAAUAUUUUAUGUGAUUGAGUUUGUAGUAUGAAUUUUACCAGCUCCAUACAGGAGGCAGCAAAUACAAAUUGUGUGAUCUAACAGCUUUAAAUUCCCCCUACACUGCUGUGUUAGACAUCAGUUUCACAGACUGUCCUCAUGGAUCCUGCCCACCUGUUAAGCCUCACUGCUUCAUCCAUGGCUGUAUCAUUUCUAACCAAAGCCUUGAGGCUUUACUGGGGCUCCUGUCAGGAACCAUAUGUAUACCUAAUAAGUCACAGUCACAGUCCUGGAGGGCUUGCCACCUGAAUGGAGAAAGACACAGCAGAAAAAGUCUCACCUUGGGAAAAGAAGCUUCUCCACUUGGUUCUGAUUUUAAUCACAGAAUCUCAGAGUAAGCUAAGUUGGGAGGAACCCACAAGGAUCAUCUAAUACAAUUCUUGGCCCUGCACAGGACCUUCUCCAAGAGCCAUGUCAUGUGGCCAAGAGUAGCUGCUAUUCUGAAAUAUUACAGAAAAGACCUACUUUCAGCAUGCGGGAUAAGGAGGUGCAGCUUCAUGUUUUGUUGUUGCAAGCACUGGAAACUGUUUCAAGAAACUGCAGUGAGGAUGUGAUGAACAACAAAAAGAUUGAAAGAAAAACAUCUGUGCAGUUUUCUAAUUGCAGAUGUAAGGGUUUUGCUAAUGUGUCUGUACAGAUUACUAGAUUGGAUGGCUGGAAUGGAACUGUUGUCUAUGUUCAUUUCCUCUUUGAUGUUAUCUGCAAAAUGGGAGAUACAGCUAACUUUUCUAGUUGUUAAUAAAUAAUAUUUGUGUUAUUUCUCUGGCAAUGUUCCAUAUUAGUUGUUAAUGUUCCAAUUUAGCUAUUUUUAAAAUAGUUUUCCUUAUGUUGGAAAUGAUGGAUACGUGAUGCUUUUGAAUAUUCAAACAGUGGUAUUUUCCUUCUAUAUAUAACCUUUCUUUGGUCAUUGGAUCCUUGUUCUGAAUAUAUUUAUUUAUUUUUGAGAUGUUUGUAAAGAACACCUCCAGAGAUUGUUAACAUUUGUCAGCUCUUGGAAUGACAGCUCCAGUCACUACAGACGACAAGUAAUUUUCCUCUUGAAGAAAAGGGAUGCUAAUCUCCACCUACAGUAACAUGUUUUGAGAAACAUAAUGCACUAAGAAAAUGUACCAAUUACUUGGCUGAAAAUUGCUUCCCUUCUGCAAAAUAGACAAUCAUAACAUUUUUGGACUUUUUUUUACUAGUUUCAUAACAUAACUCCCUCUUCUACAAAGUUGGAAACAUGAAGUUUUAGAGCAGACUAGUAUUUUAUCAGGUAUGGGAGCAGCAUUGUACUGUGGUGUGGCAUUUCAGAUUCUGAAUCAUGUCCAGGAUCUGUAGCUGGAAAACAAAUAGGAUUUUAUUUAUUAGGAAAAUUAAGUACAUAUAUGCUCCCAUGUGUUUUACUUACACAGCCAGAGGGUGAUUCUUACACACACAUUGUCCAGGAUGGAAAGUUAUUUUUUAGGUGUGGUUUCUUAACUGGCUUUCAGAAGCACAUUACUGAUUCUCACCUGCAAAUAAUGUGGAAAUCAUAUGUAUGUGCAUGAAUGAGUGUAUAUCUCAAUAUAAUUAUUGACAUAUACUAAGACAAAAGACUGAGGAAAAUGGCAAUUAUCUUAAUAAAGUUGCUUAAUUGCAUAUCAUGAAAAUUUUAAUUUACUGCAACCUAUUGAAACUAUCACUGACCUAAUAAAGAUUAUACCCUUUUACUUCUAUUGUUUUCUGUUUAAAUUAGCAGGAGUAUAUUAAAGCAAACUGCUUAAUUGUUGAGAAAUUAGAUUAUUUGGGAUGUAGAAGGAAAACAAAAAGAUGGUAAUAUAAAAAUUGACUCUAUUUAAUAAGCAGUUAGACAAAACUAUGUUUUGUGCCACAGGCUUAUGACAUUAGCAAAUGAGUCAUAUCAAGUCACUUUACU